rnacentral:rRNA from 1 species
GAGCGCAACCCUUAUCCUUUGUUGCCAUCGGUUCGGCCGGGAAAUCAAAGGAGACUGCCUGUGAUAAACUGGAGGAAGGUGGGGAUGACGUCAAGUCAUCAUGGCCCUUACGAGUAGGGCUACACACGUGCUACAAUGGCAUAUACAAAGAGAAGCGACCUCGCGAGAGCAAGCGGACCUCAUAAAGUAUGUCGUAGUCCGGAUUGGAGUCUGCAACUCGACUCCAUGAAGUCGGAAUCGCUAGUAAUCGUAGAUCAGAAUGCUACGGUGAAUACGUUCCCGGGCCUUGUACACACCGCCCGUCACACCAUGGGAGUGGGUUGCAAAAGAAGUAGGUAGCUUAACCUUCGGGAGGGCGCUA